rnacentral:lncRNA from 1 species
UGACUAAAUGGAAAAGUUCAGUUAGGGUUUAAAACCCUAAUGCUGACUAAAUGGAAAAGUUCAGUUUAGGGUUUAAAACCCUAAUGCUGACUGAAUGGAAAAGAUUAGUUUAGGGUUUAAAACCCUAAUGCUGACUGAAUGGAAAAGUUCAGUUUAGGGUUUAAAACCCUAAUGCUGACUGAAAGGAAAAAGUUCAGUUUAGGGUUUAAAACCCUAAUGCUGACUGAAUGAAAAAGUUCAGUUUAGGGUUUAAAACCCUAAUGCUGACUAAAAGUGAAAGUUCAGCUUAGGGUUUAAAACCCUAAUGCUGCCUAAAUGGAAAGGUUCGGUUUAGGGUUUAAAACCCUAAUGCUGACUAAGGGAAA